rnacentral:lncRNA from 1 species
CGGGAAUCUGCCCUGAGGCUUCUGCAGUUCAGUCAUACCAGCCUUCGCGCCUCAGAGGUCCUGCUCCAGGAAUAUAACUUGCCACAAGCCAGAGGUCUACUUGUAAAUAAAUUGGUUGUCUCUUGAAGGGAAUUUGUACCCCAAACAAUUUCGAAGAUAAUGAGGGCUUACCAAAGCAGAAUGGAGGAGAUUAAGAAAAAUAUUCAGUGCUCCAAUGGAUCUAUAUUCUGACCAGCUUGGGAGUUCCCUUCAAUCAUGCCAGUAGCAGCCCAGUGGUAUGACUCUUGUUAUUGUUCUCCUAGCAGAUCACAAUUAGG